GAGCGCCAAGGAUACCUGAAGAAGACACAGAACCAAUAGUGAAUCAGUAGAUUGUACUUUAAAAUUGUUCUGGGAAACUCGGAUGUAGAGUACGUCGGCUGAGGGAACAGAGACGUACAGGGUUGUAAUGAGAGGGACCCGAGACCCAGAACGAGCGCGCGUAUUGUUGGAUGAUUGGCAGUUGGGUAAGGUCACAAAUUGGAGUCAGAUUACUAACUUAAGUUUAUGAUGAUUUAGAAAUAAAAUAUCCAACAAUUUAUGGUGACCCCGGCGUGAUGCAAGAGAGGUAAAAGAAGUCCGGGACUUCGAGAAAAACCACAAGAGUCUGGGACUCGGGUCAGGGACCCACAUCCACACCAGGUGACGACCUGACAAAGAAGCCACGUGUCCGACCGUCUUUCCUCUUGGGCCCACAGUCAAACAAGUGUGUCUGCGCAGGUCACAGACAAGGCGGUUGCAGAUUCGUCAUCAGCAUCACCGGAGUCGGACAUCACUCCGUACGUCUACCUCCGGGUGCUCUCCCGGAAGUGGACUGAACCUCGCUGGAAAGGACCGUUUAGGGUUCUGGCUAGAACUUCACACGCCGUCCAAUUGGAAACUAAAGGACAAAAGUGGUACCAUUACUCACAGUUGCGCCCGGCCCCAGACUUAGUGCCUGCCAAUGAUGAGCUUAAAGUUGACCAACCGGACGGGCAGGUCAAGUGAGGGAAUGUGACGAUGGCGACAAUUGGAUCAAACUCGGACUCGAAAGUGUCUGAACAAAGAUGACGACGAUGCAAAUGUUUAACUUUAUUGACUAUUUUGCUUGCUGGCUUGUUUGUGUGGACUAUGUUGGCGUUUGAACAUAUGGUGCGGGAUGACAGAAGUGAUGGAGCGAAAGGAGAACGAGUGAUGGUGUAUCAUUCCUGUAAUGGAACGGUAUGGUAUGAAGCAGAGCAAGAUGGUGGUAAGACGCUGACACAGACACAACAACUACUGCUAAAUCUGAAGUGUAAACAACCGACACAGGUGAACGCUUGGGUGACAAUUUUCAAGUGACUCAACAAUGGCUUGAUUUGUUAGAUAAAUUGGACAAUUAUCAACCACGGUACCAGGACUGGCCCUUGUUACGCCCACAGGAACCUAGAAGGAGAAGAGAGGUAAAGUCAGAAAAUGAGUGGGAGAAAAAGGGCUACCAGCCUUGGAUAAUAGGCUGGGCAUACAAUAAUUCGGUGAGAGUAACAGUGGCUCCUAAUACAACUACCCAAGUAAAUAUACCAAUAAAAGCAUUGGAGGGUCUGCGCACGCUCAGUAACAAAAUGAAGGAGCACUCAGGUGUGGACACCAGUUGGUAUUCUGACUGGUUAAACGUCUUUGGUAAAUAUAAAAGCUUGAUUGCAUCAGUACUGAUUUAUAUCGCUGUGUUUGCUGCUGUUAUGGUGUUAUGUGGAUGUUGCUGUAUUCCAUGUAUCAGAUCAUUAACUGUUAAGACAAUUGAACGCACGUUGGGGCCACUCCCUGCGGGUGGCCAGUACGUGAUGAUCACUCAGAAGGACCCCCAGGAGGCGGAGACAGCUGUGGCCCUCCGGGAGUCCGGGAUGUGAGUAUGUGAAGGUGGCCUCAGGGACCUGAGGCCAUGAGGAGGGAAUGAAAUUUUCUACUAGAAUGACAUUUUUUACUGAUUUUUAAUUUUCUACUAAUUUUUAAUUUUUUGCUAAUUUUUAGCUUAUGGCUAUUGAUUUUUAACUCGUGUUUAACAAUAAAAUAAGCUGUUCGAGUGAUGACCUCAGAGGGAAUAAAGGAAUAUAAGAGUUUCAGCUUAAAGUAGUUCAUUAGAUGUUGCUACAUCCUGUGUAUGAAAGUGUGAGACUGUAAAGUGCUGAGCGUGUGACUGGUGGAACGAAACAGGGUAUGUGGUGCAAGAAUGGAAUGUUUUAGAACAGACGGUGCUAACUGCAAGGAGGAUGCGGAGACGGGAGGACUCGGAGGCAGUUGGUGGAAAAACUACUGUCAGGAAACCACCAGGAGGAGCCAGCACGCGAGUCUGCAGGGGAGGAGUCUGUCCAACAUCCGGCGGACCAAAGGAGACCAAUGAGAGAGCGCCAAGGAUACGUGGAGGAGACAGAACCAAUAGUGAAUCAGUAGAUUGUACUUUAAAAUUGUUCUGGGAAACUCGGAUGUAGAGUACGUCGGCUGAGGGAACAGAGACGUACAGGGUUGUAAUGAGAGGGACCCGAGACCCAGGUGUGUGUUGAAGGAAUAAAUCCACUCGUGUGUGAAAAUGCCGGCUUCCUGAUACCUUUCUAUUGCAGAACG